rnacentral:rRNA from 1 species
AGAGGGUGCAAGCGUUAAUCGGAGUUACUGGGCGCAAAGGGUGCGCAGGCGGGUUGGUAAGUCAGACGUGAAAACUCCGGGCUCAACCCGGAGCGUGCGUUUGAAACUGCCUACCUUGAGUACGGGAGAGGGAAGUGGAAUUCCUGGUGUAGCGGUGAGAUGCGUAGAUAUCAGGAAGAACUCCGGUGGCGAAGGCGGCUUCCUGGCCCGAUACUGACGCUGAGGCGCGAAAGCUAGGGUAGCAAACAGGGAUUAGAUACCCUGGUAGUCCUAGCCGUAAACGAUGGGCACUAGGUGUUGGAGGAUCGACCCCCCUUCAGUGCCGCAGUUAACGCAUUAAGUGCCCCGCCUGGGGAGUACGACCGCAAGGUUG